AGCGAACGCUGGCGGCAGGCCUAACACAUGCAGGUCGAACGAAGUCUUCGGACUUAGUGGCGGACGGGUGAGUAACACGUGGGAACGUGCCCUUUGGUACGGAAUAACUCAGGGAAACUUGAGCUAAUACCGUAUGUGCCCUUCGGGGGAAAGAUUUAUCGCCAUUGGAGCGGCCCGCGUCUGAUUAGCUAGUUGGUGAGGUAAAGGCUCACCAAGGCUACGAUCUGUAGCUGGUCUGAGAGGAUGAUCAGCCACAUUGGGACUGAGACACGGCCCAAACUCCUACGGGAGGCAGCAGUGGGGAAUCUUGCGCAAUGGGCGAAAGCCUGACGCAGCCAUGCCGCGUGAAUGAUGAAGGUCUUAGGAUUGUAAAAUUCUUUCACCGGGGACGAUAAUGACGGUACCCGGAGAAGAAGCCCCGGCUAACUUCGUGCCAGCCGCCGCCGUAA
rnacentral:rRNA from 1 species